UACAGAGGUGGCAAGCGUUGUUCGGAAUUACUGGGCGUAAAGGGCGCGUAGGCGGUUUCGUAAGUCCUGUGUGAAAUCCCCCGGCUCAACUGGGGAACUGCACAGGAAACUGCGAGGCUUGAGUUCGGGAGAGGGAAGCGGAAUUCCGGGUGUAGCGGUGAAAUGCGUAGAGAUCGGGAGGAACACCAGUGGCGAAGGCGACUGUCUGGGGUAUUGCUGACGCUGAGGCACGAAAGCCAGGGGAGCGAACGGG
rnacentral:rRNA from 1 species